rfam:Sorghum bicolor cultivar BTx623 chromosome 7, whole genome shotgun sequence.
GUAGUCGGAUUCACAUCAAUCCACGUGUGUUGACUGUUGAGGUGGAUUGGUGUGGAACUUGAACUAAAUUCCACCCCAAUCCACACCCAUACACAUGGAUUAAAGUGAAUCCGACA